GGCCCAUUAACUCAGUUGGUUAGAGCGUCGUGUUAAUAACGCGAAGGUCGCAGGUUCGACACCUGCAUGGGCCA